GGUUAAGUGAAUAAGGGCGCACGGAGGAUGCCUUGGCACUAGGAGUCGAAGAAGGACGCGACAAACGGCGAAACGCCUCGGGGAGCUGUAAGUGAGCAUUGAUCCGGGGGUAUCCGAAUGGGGAAACCCGCUAGUGGUUAUACGCUAGCACCAUAUGGUGAAUACAUAGCCAUAUAGGAGACAGACCCAGGGAACUGAAACAUCUAAGUACCUGGAGGAAAAGAAAGAAAAAUCGAUUCCCGUAGUAGCGGCGAGCGAAGUGGGAAGAGCCCAAACCGGAUUUAUCCGGGGUUGUAGGACCUUCAUAAUUGACAAAUCAUGAUAGCCGAAUGGUCUGGGAAGGCCAACCGUAGGGGGUGAGAGUCCCGUAGGUGAAAUUGUGAGAUGCAUGGAAGGAAUCCUGAGUACGGCGGGACACGUGGAAUCCCGUCGGAAUCAACGAGGACCAUCUCGUAAGGCUAAAUACUACC
rnacentral:rRNA from 1 species